rnacentral:lncRNA from 1 species
CAGUAAGGAGUGGACCAUUUUAGUGGAAGAGGACAUUCAGAUGGAAGAGGAUAUUGCAGUGGAAGAGAAGGAUUCAAAAAAAUUGAUGGAGAUUAUAAAAAGACAGAAAAACUUAUAAAUAUUAAAAAAGAUAAAGACUUUGAAGGGAAUUUUAAUGAAGCAGAUCAAGUGAUUGAUGGACUAAUGAUUUUAAGGAAUUUAGGUAAUGUAAUAUAACACAAUGUAACAUAACAUAUAUUCAUAAGAAUUCAUCAAUACAUUGUGUUUCUGUAAGAGAGGAACUGGUCUUAAUCUGCCAGCAGAACAGAGAGAAGCAGAUCUGGCAAGCUGGAGAAUUAUGCAGGAAUGGGGCAAGGACAAGAAGGAGAGAGAAUUCUGGGAAAAGGAGAGGAAGUGAGCUGAACUGGUCAGUUGGAAAGAUUCUUCUCUGAGAAGCUACCAGCACUUAUCUCCUCCUGUGAAAGCUUGUCCCAGUACCCCCAAGAAGACAAAGAAGUGAAUAGGACUGGAAGCUGUUCACUAGAAGAAAGAUUUCCUCCAGAUCCCCUAAUGUCCUUGACUGGUUACAAUUGCCAAAACAGUUGGAGAGCCAGGACUUCUUCUAACUAAUCCAGGGGGUCAGAACAACAGAACUUGAUUUGCCAUAUUUUUGGGAGAAGGGGUUUCAUUUAGUUUAGGGAUCCUUUGCUCCCUCUUCCCUUCUGCCUCAUUCCUAACUCAUCUGCCCUAUCCCUUACCUUGUUCUCUUAGAAUAAACAGUUUAAUAAGAAUAAGUGACUGACUCCAUUACAUCUAGAGAGAGACUUGAAGUUGGGGGGAGGGAAGUGACAUCUCUCUCCCCAGAGAGAGAGUGAAGCUAAUUGUAUCAAGCUUGUUUAGUCAGGGUCUCUGAGGGAACAGAAGUUAAGGUCUGGAAGGGCAAUCAGAGUGGGGUUGUCAGGGAGAGCUGAGAGGGAAGACAAUCCAUCCUCUCUCUACUUGACUCAACUCCAUCUUUACUUCACUCUAGUCCUGACCCAGCAGGGAGGGAAGACUCCAUUCUCUCCCUGCCCUCAUAUUGCAGUUAUUUUACAUUACCAUGGAUUUUGGAGAGGAAGAAUUCUUCAAACAAAAAGAGAAGAAAAAUCUGAAGUUUUGCUGCAGAAUGGACAUUAUUAUGUGUAUAGAUUUGUAAGUCCUACAGAUACAUCAAUAUCUGUCUAUGGAUAUACUUUAAUAAUUCAAAGGACCAUGAAUUCAUUAACAUUAAGAGUCUAAAAUGUAUCUAAAGAAGGAGAGCGUGCAAUUAAAAAACACUAGUCAACUUCAAAGCAAGCAUAAAAAGAAGAAAUUUUAAAAUCAAGAAGUAAAGUUAAAAAUAAAAAUCAGCCUAUAAACA